GUUGAAACUGCUCCCCAUAAAACCUAGCUAUGACAAAUAAAUAGGGAGACCAGUAGCAAACCAUUCAUGAGCCAAUACCUUGUGGUGGCAUGAGGUAUCUCCACCAUUGCAUAGUGACACUAUGAACGCUGAGUGCUACUUUACCAUACAUACUGCCAUCAGUCUUCAACUCAAAUACAGUAUGUGAGACAUUGGAGAUGAGGGGGAAGUAUUUAGUAGUAUAAAAAAUAGCCACCAGAUUACUGCUGAUGGUCCAAAUCCAUGCAGAAACAAUCUGGCGGUGACCCUGGGAAACUUAAAGAAGACGUGCAGCCUGAAAGAAUCCCUUAAACACAGCCAGAAUCACAAGCUAUUUGACUGACUGAUGGUUUGAUAGGUGGCAUGAAGUUGACUGCUGAACCCCUUAUACAAAAGCCAUCAUGAAUCAUCUCAAGUUUCUAGAAUGAAGGAAGAUGACAACAACCACUGCCGGCCUAUUGGACUUCAGCUUUCUUCUCAGUCUACCAAGGCCACUCUGGGCAGUUUACCUCCAGCAAUCCAGUUAAGGUAUCCAUUAGCAUCGGCCCUGCUGACUCCAGAUUCUGAAAGGCUAAAGGUCUCCUUUUCCCGACAUAAAGCUAGGCAAGUCUGCUUGCCAUGAUACAAUGACAGGUCAAGUGCUGAUCACUGGCCGAAAAAGGAUGUCAACAAAGUAAGCCGAACAGUCUGUGAAACUCAAUGCUACCCUCUUACUCCAUCUCAAGUUUGAACCAUUACUGAAAUAAUUGAU
rnacentral:lncRNA from 1 species